UUCCACAGAAGACUGAGACUAAGCAGUCAUAAAGAUAGAAGCAGAACCUAGAGAACAAAGUCAUGGAAACCAUGGUAGCAGCGCAUUUACAAAAAAGGGUGGGAUGAAAAGCAUCAACGGACAGUGGAUGGAGUGAGGAGAUUCAAAAUGGACUGGAGAUUCAAAAUAAUCCACUGGUUUUUGACAAGUGAACAGUCUGGUCAGAUUUUCACAGUACCAAACUAUAAGGAGCUAGGAGAAUGAGAUUACGGAGAAGAAAAGAAUGGGGUCAGAAAUUUCUAGAGGACAGAGAGAAAGGUGAAUUAUAUGGAUAUGCGACAUUUUAUCCAUCAGCGAUUGGGUUGCUUCCAUCUUUUGGCUGUUGCAAAUAAUGUUAUUAUGAACAUAUGUAUGUACAAACAUC